rnacentral:lncRNA from 1 species
AAGUCGGAGAAGCGAAAUAUACGAGAUCACAAACGCAGAUUGCUCGCGGCAAAAUAUGAAUUGAGACGAAAGCUUUAUAAAGCCUUUUGUAAAGAUUCCGAUCUUCCUAGUGAUAUGCGGGACAAACUUCGUUAUAAGUUGUCCAAGUUGCCAAGAAAUAGUUCCUUUGCACGAGUAAGAAACCGAUGUAUUUCCACGGGUCGCCCUCGUUCCGUAUAUGAGUUCUUUCGAAUUUCUCGUAUCGUUUUUCGUGGAUUUGCAUCUCGAGGUCCUUUGAUGGGCAUAAAGAAAUCGUCUUGGUAG